rnacentral:rRNA from 1 species
GACAGAGGGGGCAAGCGUUGCUCGGAAUUACUGGGCGUAAAGGGCGCGUAGGCGGGAUGGCAAGUCGGUCGUGAAAUCCUUCGGCUCAACCGAAGAACGUCGAUCGAUACUGCUGUUCUUGAGGGUUGCAGAGGAGACUGGAAUUCCCGGUGUAGCGGUGAAAUGUGUAGAGAUCGGGAGGAACACCGGUGGCGAAGGCGGGUCUCUGGGCAAUUCCUGACGCUGAUGCGCGAAAGCGUGGGGAGCAAACGGG